UUUGCAUUUUCAUGAGGGAAAUACGUAUUUGACCCCCUCUCAAUCAGAAAGAUUUCUGGCUCCCAGGUGUCUUUUAUACAGGUAAUGAGCUGAGAUUAGGAGCACACUCUUAAAAUGGUGUAAAAUAGUCAUAUGUUUGAGAAAUUGAAGUUAUAGCAUUUUUUAGGUAUUUGUAUUUGGCGCCACGUUCUACCAUUGGAUAUUGGUGAGGCGUUCCGGCUGCGGAACGUCUGUCCUUUAACCACUGAAUGUGUCAUCAGUAGGUGUUAACCACUGAAUGUGUCAUCAGUAGGUGUUAACCACUGAAUGUGUCGUCAGUAGGCGUUAACCACUGAAUGUGUCGUCAGUAGGUGUUAACCACUGAAUGUGUCAUCAGUAGGUGUUAACCACUGAAUGUGUCAUCGGUAGGUGUUAACCACUGAAUGUGUCAUCGGUAGGCGUUAACCACUGAAUGGGUCAUCGGUAGGUGUUAACCACUGAAUGUGUCGUCAGUAGGUGUUAACCACUGAAUGUGUCGUCAGUAGGUGUUAACCACUGAAUGUGUCAUCAGUAGGUGUAGGCCACAAUGAGUUAGCAGAAAGGAAAAUGGAGGGUAUAAAGGGGGCAAUUUUGGGGUACGACUCUCUUUGAGGUUCCUAGAAGAAUCUGUUGACUGCUGGAAGAAGAUUUUUGCUCUAGUUUUUUAGCUUAAAAUAUAUUUUGAUUUUAAAGUAAAAUUCUAGGAGGAUUCCUUAAGUUUACCCCAUUGAUAGAAAUGUGUUAAAGUAACGUUUUAGAUGCCAUCUGAGGGACUGAUCAUCCUGAGAGCCAAAUAAAAAACAUUUAUAAAGUUGUAGAAUGUAAGAAACUGUUUUUCUUGUUAUUAACAAUUGUGCUUCACAUAAAAUUGUAAUAGACAAUAAAUAUUGUAUUGGCAUCCCCACAAUGGUUGAGUUAAGGGCUGUGACGGGGUCGAUCAAUUUUAUUUACUGUUGAUGUUCGCUUAUCAUUGAUUGGUGAUAUUGAUUUGGUAUUGAUUGAUUGAUCUGGGAUUGUUUAUGCCUGUUUCUGGAAUUUUGAAUAAACUUGCUUUAUUGUUCUGAA
rnacentral:lncRNA from 1 species